UCGAGCGGUAGAGAGAAGCUUGCUUCUCUUGAGAGCGGCGGACGGGUGAGUAAUGCCUAGGAAUCUGCCUGGUAGUGGGGGAUAACGUUCGGAAACGGACGCUAAUACCGCAUACGUCCUACGGGAGAAAGCAGGGGACCUUCGGGCCUUGCGCUAUCAGAUGAGCCUAGGUCGGAUUAGCUAGUUGGUGGGGUAAUGGCUCACCAAGGCGACGAUCCGUAACUGGUCUGAGAGGAUGAUCAGUCAUACUGGAACUGAGACACGGUCCAGACUCCUACGGGAGGCAGCAGUGGGGAAUAUUGGACAAUGGGCGAAAGCCUGAUCCAGCCAUGCCGCGUGUGUGAAGAAGGUCUUCGGAUUGUAAAGCACUUUAAGUUGGGAGGAAGGGUUGUAGAUUAAUACUCUGCAAUUUUGACGUUACCGACAGAAUAAGCACCGGCUAACUCUGUGCCAGCAGCCGCGGUAAUACAGAGGGUGCAAGCGUUAAUCGGAAUUACUGGGCGUAAAGCGCGCGUAGGUGGUUUGUUAAGUUGGAUGUGAAAUCCCCGGGCUCAACCUGGGAACUGCAUUCAAAACUGACUGACUAGAGUAUGGUAGAGGGUGGUGGAAUUUCCUGUGUAGCGGUGAAAUGCGUAGAUAUAGGAAGGAACACCAGUGGCGAACGCGACCACCUGGACUAAUACUGACACUGAGUGCGAAAGCGUGGGGAGCAAACAGGAUUAGAUACCCUGGUAGUCCACGCCGUAAACGAUGUCAACUAGCCGUUGGAAGCCUUGAGCUUUUAGUG
rnacentral:rRNA from 1 species